AUUGAGUGUCUCAUGUCUUCCAAAAGCAUAUCAAAUUGCUUUAUAAUAGCUUGCUUCUCUACUUGUCUCUAUUGCUUCUCUUUUUCAAGCUACUUCUUCAAUUGUUCUACUUCUUAUUGUAAAACAACAAACUGAGAAUUGUGUGACAAAGACACCCUAGAAGAAGAUGCUCCACGUGAAGAGUAAAUGGUAGAUGAUUCUGAUCCAAGCCCAUACACCAUUUGUCUCUUCUGAUCGGCCCCAACAACAUCCAAAUAAAUUUGAU
rnacentral:misc_RNA from 1 species